UCUGGACGAAAUCUAAAGGGAACAAAACACAGAUCAGUGACAAUGCUGUGCAUGAUGAUGAAGAUGGAGAUGAAGCUACGGUGAACUAUGAAAACGUUGGAGAACCUUCUGCUUCUAUCAGACUCCACUGAUCAACAACUUUCACUCCAACAUCAACUCAGCAGAGUAAAUAACAUUUCAUCAGAUUUUA